rnacentral:lncRNA from 1 species
GGUACUACUGGAAUUACUUAUUGGUUUUUAUGAAAACACAUGUAGAAGAGAAAAUUAGGGUGAUGGAAUUCAACCGAAAAUGUUUACUUUGAUCUGUGAUAGUUCUGUACUUGCUCCCUGAAGGUAUUCCUUUAUUAUGGGAUAAGGAAAACUUGACAUAUUUUUGUUAAAUAGAGGAUAAAGUCAAGAAGCUUCAAUAGAGGAAUAGUUCUGAGAGUCUUUGGUCAGAUACCAGGGCUAUCCCUGGGUUCAGGCAUCGUAAGUGCCCUCAGGUUACAAAAACGUCCUGAGGUUGUACAUUGUGUGCUUGAUGUUUUCUAAGGGAACAAGGUCUUAGGGUAUCAUUAGAUGCUGAUAGGGUUACAGGCUCAUUUAAGCUCAAAUUAGAUAUGCAGGUACUAUUCAGAAUAUUAGUAAGAAAGGGGGUGCAAAGAUAGAAUUGCAACCAUGAUUGGUACAGAGGAACCUA